GACGAACGCUGGCGGCGUGCUUAACACAUGCAAGUCGAACGGUGAAGCUCCAGCUUGCUGGAGUGGAUCAGUGGCGAACGGGUGAGUAACACGUGAGCAACCUGCCCCUGACUCUGGAAUAAGCGCUGGAAACGGCGUCUAAUACUGGAUACGAGAAGGGUCCGCAUGGGCACUUUCUGGAAAGUUUUUCGGUUGGGGAUGGGCUCGCGGCCUAUCAGCUUGUUGGUGAGGUAAUGGCUCACCAAGGCGACGACGGGUAGCCGGCCUGAGAGGGCGACCGGCCACACUGGGACUGAGACACGGCCCAGACUCCUACGGGAGGCAGCAGUGGGGAAUAUUGCACAAUGGGCGAAAGCCUGAUGCAGCGACGCCGCGUGAGGGAUGACGGCCUUCGGGUUGUAAACCUCUUUCAGCAGGGAAGAAGCGAAGGUGACGGUACCUGCAGAAGAAGCACCGGCUAACUACGUG
rnacentral:rRNA from 1 species